AGCGUAACAGCUCACUCAUCGAGAGAAUAUGCGCCGCAGAUAAUCGGGGUUAAGUAUAGUACCGAAACUGAGGGCUUGUAAACUUCAUAAAGGAAAAUUUAAACAGAAAUAGCUUAAUAAUAGUCGAAAUUUAAUCAUCUAUUACAGUAGAUUAAAGACGUAAAAUCCCAUAGGUUUUGAACGUUCUUGAUUAAAUUAUUAAAACAUCUUGUUGCGCUCAUGCAAGAUGAGACUAUGAAGGUAAAGCACAAGGGUGGUAGAGCCACUAUUCUGGGCUUGAAGAUACUGGUUCGAAUCCAGUUUUCUGUUUUUUUCUUGGUGAAAGAUUAUCUUUCACCUCCUUUAUGAAGUUUAUAAGCGGUAGGAGAGUUUUCUACUCUGCGUUGAAGGCAAAGGCGUGAGCCAUGCUGGAGCGUGUAGAAGUAAGAAUGUUGGCACAAGUAACCACAAUGCGGGUGAGAAUCCCGCACGCCGAAAGAUCAAGGUUUCCUUGGCGAUGAUGAUCAGCCAAGGGUUAGUCGGGCCUAAGGGAAUGGUGAAAACCGCACCCGAUGGACACAUGGUUAAUAUUCCAUGACUUUUAUAUAAAGUGACGGAGGGACGGAGUGUAGUAUGUACAGCUUGUUAUUGGAUUUGAGUAGUUGCUAUAGGGAAGGUGUGUAGGAAAAUCCGCACCCUGUCUUAAAUGACGAUUCCGAGUAGAGGCUAAAGUUCUGGGUUCGCCCAGGGCUAUUGUACAAAGCACGCUCUCGAGAAAAACUUCUAAACUUAUUUAUAUAAAAACCGUACCGCAAACCGACACAGGUGAUCAAGUCGAGUAGACUAAGGCGAACGAGUGAGAGGUCUCCAAGGAACUCGGCAAAAAAGCAGCCGUAACUUCGGAAUAAGGCUUGCCUCAAUAUCCAAUGGAGGAUAUCAAUGAAAAAUAAAAAAAGAAAAAAGAAGAUGAUGUGCACGAGGUGUACAAAAAUGCACAGUAGAAAUUCACUUUUUUGUUCAAAAUCUUGUGAAAAGAAAGAUGAACAAUGGUGGAUUGAUAUUGCAGCAAAAUAAUAUUUUUUUACAGGGAAGAAAUCUUCCCUCUUCCAUUGGGUAUUGAGGCCGCAGCGAAAGUAUCUCUGGCAACUGUUUAUCAAAAACACAGCUCCCUGCGAACUCGCAAGAGGAUGUAUAGGGGGUGACACUUGACCAAUGCCCGAAGGUCAAACAACGGCGGUGCGAUCAUAUCAAGCUGACUGUUGUAAGCCCGGGUGAAUGUCGGCGAUAACUAUAAUCGUCCUAAGGUAGCGAAAUUCCUUGUCAGGUAAGUUCUGACGCGCACGAAAAGUGUAAUGCCUGGAGAACUGUCUCGGAGACUUGCUCGGUGAAAAUACAAUAUCGGUGAAGAUGCCGAUUACCCACAGUUAGACGAAAAGACCCUAGAAGCUUUACUGCAACUUGAUUUUGAGUAUAUGUUUUUGAUGCGUAGCGUAGAUGGGAGGAUUUGAAGUUUUUCUUUCGGGGAAGAUGGAUCCGCAAGUGAAAUACCAUUCUUUAAAAAUAUAUAUUCUAACCUCGACGGCAAAAAACGACGAGAGACAGAAUCUGGCGGGCAGUUUUAGUGGGGCGCUAUCCUCCUAAAAAGUAACGGAGGAGUUUAUUAAGGUCAGCUAGGCGCGAAUGGAAACCGUGCCGAUAGUGUAAUGGCAGAAGCUGGCUUGACUGUAAGACGUACUUGUCGAGCAGAUGCGAAAGCAGAACAUAGUGAACCGACCUUACGCAUUAGAUGCGGGGGAAGAUAAUCGGACAAAAGCUACUCUAGGGAUAACAGGCUGGUUGCGCCUAAGCGUUCAUAGCGACGGCGCAGUUCGGCACCUCGAUGUCGGCUCAACUUAUCCUGGAGGUGGAGAAGCUUCCAAGGGUUUGGCUGUUCGCCAAUUAAAAAGUUACGCGAGCUGGGUUCAGACCGUUCAGUGGUAAUAUCGAGUAAGAUUUUGUUUUAAGAAAUGCCUCUCGCAGGCCACGAAGGUGGCCGAGAGGAGCAAGUUUUCAGCAGAAAACUAUGCGAGCAUUUCGUAAAUGAAAUCUUACGAGAUAGACUCUUGAACAGUCUGAAUCACUUCGAAUAUAUGUUAUACAAUAAAUAAAAAAUUUUCGUUUAAAAAAUUAUAAAUUUCAAGAAUUUAUAAUAUAAAAGAUAAGAAUUGAUCAAUCAAACACGGCGGUCCUCUAUAGAAAUAUAGAUGUGAUCAA
rnacentral:rRNA from 1 species